AUUGAACGCUGGCGGAAUGCUUUACACAUGCAAGUCGAACGGCAGCACGGGGCAACCUGGUGGCGAGUGGCGAACGGGUGAGUAAUACAUCGGAACGUGCCCAAUCGUGGGGGAUAACGUAGCGAAAGUUACGCUAAUACCGCAUACGAUCUACGGAUGAAAGCGGGGGAUCGCAAGACCUCGCGCGAAUGGAGCGGCCGAUGUCAGAUUAGGUGGUUGGUGGGGUAAAGGCUCACCAAGCCAACGAUCUGUAGCUGGUCUGAGAGGACGACCAGCCACACUGGAACUGAGACACGGUCCAGACUCCUACGGGAGGCAGCAGUGGGGAAUUUUGGACAAUGGGCGCAAGCCUGAACCAGCCAUCCCGCGUGCAGGAAGACGGCCCUAUGGGUUGUAAACUGCUUUUCCAGGGAGAGAAACUUACGCACGUGUUGCGUGACUGACGGUACCCUGGGAAUAAGCAUCGGCUAACUCCGUGCCAGCAGCCGCGGUAAACU
rnacentral:rRNA from 1 species